GAUGAAGAACGUAGCGAAAUGCGAUAAGUAAUGUGAAUUGCAGAAUUCAGUGAAUCAUCGAAUCUUUGAACGCACCUUGCGCCCUUUGGCUAUUCCGAAGGGCAUGCCUGUUUGAGUAUCAUGAACACCUCAACUCUCAUGGUUCGCCAUGAUGAGCUUGGACUCUGGGGGUCUUGUUGGCCUAUGGUCAGCUCCUCUCAAAUAAAUCAGCUUGCCAGUGUUUGGUGGCAUCACAGGUGUGAUAACUAUCUACGCUUGUGGUUUUCCAUCAGGUAACCUUCAGUGAUGGAGGUUCGCUGGAGCUCAUAAAUGUCCCUCCUCAGCGAGGACAGCUUUUUGAACGUUUGAUCUCAAAUCAGGUAGGACUACCCGCUGAACUUAAGCAUAUCAAUAAGCGGAGGA
rnacentral:misc_RNA from 1 species